UACAGAGGGUGCGAGCGUUGUCCGGAAUCACUGGGCGUAAAGAGCGUGUAGGCGGCCAGAAAAGUCCGCUGUGAAAACUCGAGGCUCAACUUCGAGCUGUCGGUGGAAACUUUCUGGCUAGAGUCCGGAAGAGGAGAAUGGAAUUCCUGGUGUAGCGGUGAAAUGCGCAGAUAUCAGGAAGAACACCCGUGGCGAAAGCGGCUCACUGGACCACAACUGACGCUGAUGCACGAAAGCUAGGGGAGCAAACAGG
rnacentral:rRNA from 1 species